rnacentral:rRNA from 1 species
GACGAACGCUGGCGGCGUGCUUAACACAUGCAAGUCGAACGGAAAGGCCCUGCUUUUGUGGGGUGCUCGAGUGGCGAACGGGUGAGUAACACGUGAGUAACCUGCCCUUGACUUUGGGAUAACUUCAGGAAACUGGGGCUAAUACCGGAUAGGAGCUCCUGCUGCAUGGUGGGGGUUGGAAAGUUUCGGCGGAUGGGGAUGGACUCGCGGCUUAUCAGCUUGUUGGUGGGGUAGUGGCUUACCAAGGCUUUGAUGGGUAGCCGGCCUGAGAGGGUGACCGGCCACAUUGGGACUGAGAUACGGCCCAGACUCCUACGGGAGGCAGCAGUGGGGAAUAUUGCACAAUGGGCGGAAGCCUGAUGCAGCAACGCCGCGUGCGGGAUGACGGCCUUCGGGUUGUAAACCGCUUUCGCCUGUGACGAAGCGUGAGUGACGGUAAUGGGUAAAGAAGCACCGGCUAACUACGUG